AGUGAACGCUGGCGGUAGGCCUAACACAUGCAAGUCGAACGGCAGCACAGUAAGAGCUUGCUCUUACGGGUGGCGAGUGGCGGACGGGUGAGGAAUACAUCGGAAUCUACUUUUUCGUGGGGGAUAACGUAGGGAAACUUACGCUAAUACCGCAUACGACCUACGUGUGAAAGCAGGGGAUCUUCGGACCUUGCGCGAUUGAAUGAGCCGAUGUCGGAUUAGCUAGUUGGCGGGGUAAAGGCCCACCAAGGCGACGAUCCGUAGCUGGUCUGAGAGGAUGAUCAGCCACACUGGAACUGAGACACGGUCCAGACUCCUACGGGAGGCAGCAGUGGGGAAUAUUGGACAAUGGGCGAAAGCCUGAUCCAGCCAUACCGCGUGAGUGAAGAAGGCCUUCGGGUUGUAAAGCCCUGUUGUUGGGAAAGAAAAGCAGCAGGUUAAUACCCCGCUGUUAUGACGGUACCCAAAGAAUAAGCACCGGCUAACUUCGUG
rnacentral:rRNA from 1 species